rnacentral:rRNA from 1 species
CCUACGGGAGGCAGCAGUGGGGAAUUUUGGACAAUGGGCGCAAGCCUGAUCCAGCAAUGCCGCGUGCAGGAUGAAGGCCUUCGGGUUGUAAACUGCUUUUGUACGGAACGAAACGGUCUGCUCUAAUACAGUGGGCUAAUGACGGUACCGUAAGAAUAAGCACCGGCUAACUACGUGCCAGCAGCCGCGGUAAUACGUAGGGUGCGAGCGUUAAUCGGAAUUACUGGGCGUAAAGCGUGCGCAGGCGGUUAUAUAAGACAGAUGUGAAAUCCCCGGGCUCAACCUGGGACCUGCAUUUGUGACUGUAUAGCUAGAGUGCGGCAGAGGGGGAUGGAAUUCCGCGUGUAGCAGUGAAAUGCGUAGAUAUGCGGAGGAACACCGAUGGCGAAGGCAAUCCCCUGGGCCUGCACUGACGCUCAUGCACGAAAGCGUGGGGAGCAAACAGGAUUAGAUACCCUGGUAGUCCACGCCCUAAACGAUGUCAACUGGUUNUUGGGUCUUCACUGACUCAGUACGAAGCUAACGCGUGAAGUUGACCGCCUUGGGGGAGUACGGCGCGAGUUGACGACGAAGAGUUAGAGGCGNGAGAGNGCGACGGACGACGACGAGGGAGGAGG